rnacentral:rRNA from 1 species
CUGGCUACGAGGACGAACGCUGGCGGCGUGCCUAACACAUGCAAGUCGAGCGGAGUUACAAGAGGAAGUUUCGGAUGGAAUUUGUAAUUAGCGGCGGACGGGUGAGUAACGCGUGAGCGACCAACCUUGCACAGGGGGAUAACGGACCGAAAGGUUCACUAAUACCGCAUGAGACCACGGUGUUGCAUGACACAGAGGUCAAAGGAGCAAUCCGGUGCAAGACGGGCUCGCGUCCGAUUAGGUAGUUGGUGGGGUAAUGGCCCACCAAGCCUAUGAUCGGUAGCCGACCUGAGAGGGUGAUCGGCCACAUUGGAACUGAGACACGGCCCAAACUCCUACGGGAGGCAGCAGUAGGGAAUUUUCGGCAAUGGAGGAAACUCUGACCGAGCCAACGCCGCGUGAAUGAAGAAGUUCUUCGGAAUGUAAAGUUCUUUUAUUAGGGACGAAAGUCCUAACUAGGAAAUGAGUUAGGAGUGACGGUACCUAAAGAAUAAGCCCCGGCUAACUAUGUGCCAGCCGCCGC